UGAUGUUAUCAGGGUUAGCAAGUGC
rnacentral:piRNA from 1 species